rfam:Acanthamoeba castellanii str. Neff unplaced genomic scaffold scf7180000084645, whole genome shotgun sequence.
GCAUCCGUGGUCCAGUGGCAAGAUUUCCGCCUGCCACGCGGGAGACCCGGGUUCAAUUCCCGGCGGAUGCA